rnacentral:lncRNA from 1 species
GCUUGGUUUAAUAAAAAUACGGAGAAUAGACAUGAUUCCUCAAACCAUAAUUCGUAAUAAGCAUGAAUUUGAGAUUGCUUAUGAUGGCAGAGGGAAUAGGGAUUCAUACCGCAAAGAGACCUAAUCGAUCUCUUAGAGAGAAGUGCACACUUCUCCGUGUAUCCUCCGUCUUCAAUUCUUAACCCUAGAUCUUCCGAGAGGGUUACUGACUAGAGAGUAACCACAAGUUGGGAAAAACCAUUCACGUUGGAAGCUCAACAUCGCUUAACAACCUGUUGGACCAAAAUUCUAGAAACAAAAUUGAACAAUAAAAUUGGUAUCUGAAACUCACGGGAAUCAAUACAAAGAUGAACGUUUUGAUGGAGAUACCUGUAUCUGUAAAUCAGGGAUUGAACAACCAAGAAAUAAGGUUUAUGAAGAAGAAGGUAAAGUUUUGAGAGAGAGCGAGAUGGAUUGAAAGUAUGGUUUGAAUUUUGAAUGUGGAGCCAAAAUCAUGUAUGUUUUAUAUGUAUCAGAAAGUUAUGGCUUGAAUUUUGAAUCUGGAGCCAGAAUUUUGAAUUUUGAAUGUGAUUUAUGACGCAAUAAUGACAUCAGAUAGGUAUUGUUGGAUAGCCUAACUGAUUGUCACGUCAGCAUUGUGAUGUAAUGCUCAUUUCCCCUUUUAUAGAAAGUAUAUAUAGAUAUAGAUUA